GUUAAAGGUCAGGGGUUAGAGGUGGCCUUGGUCUGCUAGCUGGACAUCUAGGGUCAGCACUAUGUCUAUAGACACAGAGGUCAGGGGUUAAAGGUCAGGGGUUAGAGGGGCCUUGGUCUGCUAGCUGGACAUCUAGGGUCAGAACUAUCGACACAGAGGUCAGGGGUUAAAGGUCAGGGGUUAGAGGUGGCCUUGGUCUGCUAGCUGGACAUCUAGGGUCAGCACUAUGUCUAUAGACACAGAGGUCAGGGGUUAAAGGUCAGGGGUUAGAGGUGGCCUUGGUCUGCUAGCUGGACAUCUAGGGUCAUCACUAUGACUAUAGACACA
rnacentral:lncRNA from 1 species